ACGCCCACUCCAGGCUUUUAUCGCCCUAUCCCCUAGAGCUCAUCUGAGACGUAAGAUGGCGGCGUUCGUACUGAGGGAAAGUAGUGCCGGCGUACCAGCUGUGGAAAGCAGCCAAGGAACAAAUCUGAGGGAAGUACAGAAGCUCGCCAAGUUUUGUUUUGUGAUGAGGACCUCUGGGCAUUGCAAUAUUAACAUUUGUUCUGGAAGCACAUUGUUCUGUUCAGAGGAGUCCUUUAGGCUUGACCUUCUCCAUGCUCUUGCAAAUGAAGUCAGUCCCUGUGGGAAGAAAUUAAGAGCCAUCUGUUUUAAUGUCUGCUGCUUCCCUCAAACAAAAGCUCUGAGCCGAGUCUCUGGAGAAAGAGCACAAGCAGGGGGAGCGGCAGGCAAAGGGAGAAGCAGGCUCCUUGCUGAGCAAGGAGCCCGACGUGGGACUUCCUCCCAAGAUCCUGGGAUCAUGACCUGAGCUGAAGGCAGACGCUUAACCAACUGAGCCACCCAGGUAUCCCAAAGACCAGAAGUUUUUUGAUGAAAUCCAUUUCAUAAAGUUUUUUUCUUAGAUGAGAGACGCAGCGAGAGAGAGAGAACACAAGCAGGGGGAGUGGGAGAGGGAGAAGCAGGCGUCCCGCCGAGCAGGGAGCCCGAUGCAGGGCUUGAUCCCAGGAGCCUGGGAUCAUGACCUGAGCCGAAGGCAGACGCUUAACGACUGAGCCACCCAGGGAGCUGUCCAAUGGUGAGGCUGCUGUGGAAAACAGGAUGGUGGUUCCUCAGAAAUAUAGAGAUUACUUGGUAUUCAUCACAGUAAGUAUGUUCUUGCUCCCCUUUAUCCAUUUUACUCAUCCCCUACCCACCUACCUUCUUGUAAACAGCAGUUCUCUUUGAGUCUCUUUUUUCCUUUGUUCAUUUGUUUGGUUUCUUAAAUUCCACAUAUGAAUGAAAUCAUACAGUAUUUGUCUUAUGUCACUUAGCAUUUUACUCUCUAGGUCUACCUAUGUUGUUGCAGAUGGCAAGAUCUCAUUUUUUUAUGAGUGAAUAGUAUGUAAAAUUGUUGAAUCAUAUUGUACACCUGAAACUAAUAUAACACAGUGAGUUAAUUAUACUUCAAUAAAAUAAAUAACCUAACACAGUGCUUGGUACUAAGAAGUAAAAAAAAAAAAAAACUAAACACAAAAUUUCGAUGACCCAGCAGUUCCACACCAAGUCAUAUCCCUAAGUUAAAGGAAUCCAUUUUUAAAUAAAAUUUUUGUAUGCGAAUGUGUAUAGCCACACUAUUCAUCAUAGUUGAAAGGUGGAAACUACUCCAGUAUUCAUGAGGUGAUGAAAGUGGUAUAUCCACCUUACACUGUUGGUGGGAAUGCAAGCUGGUACAGCCACUCUGGAAAACAGUAUGGAGGUUUCUCAAGUUAAAAAUAGCGCUGCCCUACGACCCAGCAAUUGAAGUACUGGGUAUUUACCCCAAAGAUACAAAUGUAGUGAAAAGAAGGGGCACCUGCACCCCAGUGUUCAUAGCAGCAGUGUCCACAAUAGCCAAACUGUGGAAGGAGCCAAGAUGUCCUUCAACAGAUGAAUGGAUAAAGAAGAUUCGGUGUGUGUAUAUAUAUAUAUAUAUAUAUAUAUAUAUACAAUGGAAUAUUACUCAGCCCUCAGUAUGAAUACCUACCAUUUACAUUGAUGUGGAUGGAACUGGAGGGUAUUAGGCUACGUGAGAUAAGUCAAUCAGAGAAGGACAAUUAUCAUAUGGUUCCACUCAUGUGGAAUAUAAGGAAUAGUGCGGAGCGCCACAGGGAAAGGGAGGGAAAACUGAAUGGGAAGAAAUCAGAGAGGGAGAAAAACCAUGAGAGACCCUUGACUCUGGGAAACAAACUGAGUGUCGCGGAAGGAGAGGUGGGUCGGGGGAUGGGGUAACUGGGUGAUGGGCAUUAAGGAGGGCACGUGUUGUGAUGAGCAUGGGUGUUACAUGCAACUGAUGGGUCGAACGCUACAUCAAAAAUUAAUGAUGUACUAUAUGUUGUUUAAAUAAAGUGGUAUAUCAAAAAAUGCAGUAUUACUCAACUUUAUAGUUGAAUGAAUUAUGGAUACACAGUAUAACAUGGAUAUUCCUAUUAAUCAUUAUGCUAAGUGAAUGAAAACAAACAUAUAAGGGCCUAAUUCAUUUUACAUGAAAUAUGAAAGAGGUAAAUCCAUAGAAGCAAAGCAGAUUAGUGGUUGUCAACAAGUAUGGGUAUGGGGAAUGGAGAAUGACUGCUUAAUAAGUCUUGGGUUUUCUACUGCCUUACUAAAAUAAAGAGUUGACCAUGGUGAUGGUUGCACAAGGUUGUGAAUGUACUAAAAGCCACUGAAUUGUACUAUUUAAAAUUGAUAAAAUGGUUACAGCAUACGGAAUAUAGUCAAUAGUAUUGUAAUAGCAUUGUAUGGUGACAGGUGGUAGCUACACUUGCAGUGAUCAUAACAUAAUGUAUAGCAUUGAAUCACUUUGUUCUACACCUGAAACCAAUGUAACAUUGUGUGUCAACUAAAAAAUUUUAAGUAAAAAAUUUUUUAAUAAAAUGGUGAAUGUUGUGUAUGUGGGUGUUAACCUCAUUAAAAAAUUAAAGGAAUUAGUUACCUAAAAAAUAAAAUAGGUGGAGAGCCAGAUUUGGCUUGCAUGGUGUAGUUUACUAAUCCUUGGUCUGGAUCUGUUUAAGGUAAUUUGCAAUAUAUUUAUUACAACUAAUUAAAAUUUUAUGAGAUUAUCUAAAGACUAUAAUAGGUAUAUCUAACUUUUUGCAAAAUGCUGAUUUUUCUGAAUUUCUAAACAACUCUUGGGAUCAAUAUGAAAUUGGCAGUUGAUUCCAUAUGAGUUUGCUGAAGACUUGAGCAUUUUCCACAUAAAACACAGCUGUAGGGCCUCAUUUGGCAACAGAAAUAACAAAAACUCUAAGCAGUACUAAUACCCUCUAGAAAGGCUAAAAUGAAAUGGAUUGAGGAUGCCAAAUAUUGGUGAGUAUUUUGCUAACAAAUAUCUUUCAUAGAGUAAUGGUGGGAGUAUGAUUGGUGAAAGUCAUGUUAGAAGAUCUUUUAAUGAUAUGUUUGUAAAGCUGAACAUGCACAUAUCCUGUGAUUCCAAAAUUUAACUUAUAUGUAUAUGACCACAAAGAUAUGUAUAUGUUCACCUAAAGACGUGUUAAUGUCUAUAUCAUCACUAUUCAUAAUAGCUCUAAAUUGGAAAACAUGCAAAUGUCUGUCAACAGAAUAGAUAUAUUAAUUUUUGUGGUGUUUUCUUUUAGUGGAUUAUGGCAAUGAAAAAUAAUGAACUGUAACUAUACAUUAUGCAUGUAUCUCACAUUCUUUUCAGCAAAGAAGCCAAAUGUAUUAACAAAAUUCAGGAUAGUGGUUCCUCUGGUUAAAAAUUAAAGUAGAAUACAUGCCACUUCAGUGAUACUAGAAAUAUUUUCUUCAUUAAGCUUGUCAAAUUAGUCUUUAAAUAUACAUAUAAUUUAUACUGUCUUCCGUGUAUAAGAUUUCUGUAAUUUUAAAACUACAUUAAAAUGCCAAUUACUGAGGAUCCUCCCCAGAGUGUACUAUAUAUUCUCCAAUCAUUUCCAAAAGUGGAAUUAUUAUUUCUUUUUUGAUGAACCCCUAUGGGGCACUUAAAGUAUAUUAGGGUUACCAUUUUCCUUAUUUUUUUUUUGAUUUAGUUGGUUGCACUAUCUGAUAGGCAAAAGCUCUUUAACCAUUUACUUAUCUGCUAUUGUUUUCUCCUAAAUCAUUGUUUCAAGUGUUCAUCCAUACAUGAACACUAAUGAUUUAAAUGUGAAUCAAAUGUGGUAAUGUGACAGAUGUUCUCUGUUUUGUAUGAAUGUGAAAGUGUACAAUAGAUAUUGAGUGUGGGCACUAGUAUUAGUACAAGAAAAUUGAAAAAUAGUACAGAUUGUAAAAGUAACGUAAAUUACAGUGAGUCUUGCAAACCACUUACCAGUCAUCACUCAUUACCAUGCAAGAAGAAAAGCGUUAGCAUAGCAUUAUAUGUGGUCCAUAUUCACUUCAUUUGAUAUAUGUGCAGUCUUUUCUAUCUAUUGCUUAUAUAAUUAUUAAAAAUUCCAUAGUAUCUGGAUUGCUUAGGUUAUUUUCUUCCCACUGUGGUGAGAUUUUUAAAGUAAUCUAGAAGUUUGGUUAGAUCUACCGUCUUUGUUAAUAAGGGAAGAAAUUUAUUAGCAAGUGCAAGUUAAUUUUAAGGAAUAGGAAAAAUUGUAAAAUUUGACCAUAUGAUGGAAUUCAAUAAUUAGGAAAAGGAAGCAUUGUAGGGUAUGCUGCAAUAAGUAAGUACUGUGAUACAUAAAUGCUGUUGGACAACAGUAGCUUUAAGAGUGAAAUAUGAAAGAUUUAAAAAGUUGGGGAAAAACAAGCUCUGUCCUUAUUGAGACACCUUAGUGCACCUCUUGAUCUUGGGAUUGUUAAUUUGAGCCCCAAGUUGGGCAUAGAACUUACAUCAAAAUAAACAAAAGUAAUGUAGUCCUUUAAAAAAAAAAAAAGGAAGGAAGGAAGAAAAAGUUCAAAAGACAAGUUUGCUUUACCAAAGAAGGAAUUCAUAUCUAGUUUGGGAAUCUAAAACACCUAUCUAAUGCCCCCCCUUAAACUUAAAAUGCCAAUUUGAUUAAUUCCUCAGAUAAAGAUAAUAGCUUUGAAAGAAUAAAGUAUCAAAGAAUUGACAGUAAGAGUAAAAACAUGUGAAAUUAAGGUGUUUCCAUUUUUUAAAUGACAGUGUAAGGAUUUUGUGAAUCUACUCUCCAGGGAAACAAAUGUAACUGGUGAGAUGAGCAAAAUUUACAACAGUUUAACACCUCUUGAAAUUCUAAUGGCAUACAGCAAAUGAAAAAAUUUUGAGAAUUGUACUAAAACGGAAUAAAAAGACUCUAUGGCGUUUGAACCACCACUCAGUUCUCCCAUCUCAAUUCAGCAAGACAGUGACCACUCCAAGCAUUUGCAGUGAGGAAUACAGGGAUCCCUCUCUUUUAGCUAAUAGUUGAGGUCUAUUGUCCAGAAUGGAGUGAUGCUAAAAUUCCAUAUCCCCACAGCUCAGUUUUGUAGAUCCUCACUUCCAGUCAAUUGUAGCUGAUAGGAAGAGGACUUCUGUUCUCCCAACCCAGACACAUAGAGCAGAAGCUCUUCCUCAGGCCUGAUACGCUCAGAAUACUCUUAUCUUCAUUCCAGGUUGUUUGGACCAUUGAUAUACCAUACCAGGUGAGGCAAGUUGAGAACAGCUAAUCCCUAUAAAUUUGGGCUGUUACUUUGAGCCAAGGUAGUCACUGCCCCCCCCCCCCCCGCCCUGCUACACACAGCUCAGUGCAUCUGGAUGAUAAAUGUUGCUGAGUAGAACGGGCAGAACACGAGAACAGAGUUCUGAAGCCCUCCCUGAUGAAAUUUUAUUUAAAAGAGCAGGGGGACGUUCAAGCCUAUGGGCAGUCUUAAAAAAUGAUAAUUCGGUGUUAAGUACUUAGCUGGUAGUUUAAUGAGAGCAACUUGCUAAACUGUAGGCUGAUUUGCCACAGAGAACCAGGUAAAGAGUUAAGAAUAGCAUUCCUGUAGUCAGAACAAAGACUGGCAUCAUAAACUGCCCCUGCAAAUGGACCGAGUUUAAUUGGAUUAGAAUAUACAGUAAGAUAUGCCCCCAGAGCAUUGUUAUAAGUGAUAGGAAAAUUAACUUACAGUUAAUGUAGGCUAGCAGCUCAGUAUGUUCAAGAAUAGAAAUUGUGCACUGCCAUCCUAGGGUAACGACAUUUCUGGGGCUGUGCCCUCUGAGGAGCAGUAUCAUAGGCUCCCAUCAUAUCAUGGGAGAAAGAGACUUCACUAAAAGUCCAGUCAAUCACUUAACAUAUUAAAAAUGUGAACAGUAACUACCAGCCCUGGAUUCAUCUUGUGGUUAACUAGCCAGUAUUGCUACUAUAUAUCAUUUAUAAUGCCUACUUUUGAGCUGAAAAAUCUCCAGACCUGCAAAGAAAGAAGAAAAUGUCACCAUAAAGCAAAAGAGGUUGGUAGCAGAACCCACAUUUAAAGGCCUACAUAUCAGAUUUAGCAGAUAAAUAUUUUAAAUCAGCUAUGUUCAAAGAACUAGAGGAAACCAUGCUUUAAAAGGUACAGGUAUGAAGAUAGUGUUUCAUCAAAUAGUAUCAAUAAGUAGGAAUUGUAGGGGCGCCUGGGUGGCUCAGUCAUUAAGCGUCUGCCUUUGGCUCAGGUCGUGAUCCCAGGGUCCUGGGAUCAAGCCCCGCAUCAGGCUCCCUGCUCCGCGGGAAGCCUCCUUCUCCCUCUCCCACUCCCCCCUGCUUAUGUUCCCUCUCUCGCUGUGUCUCUCUCUGUCAAAUAAAAUCUCUAAAAAAAAAUAAUAGGAAUUGUAGAAAGAGCUGUAGGGACAAUCUGGAGUUGAAAAGUAUAGACAAAUAGAAAAGAAAAAUCACUAGAGUGUUUCAACAGUAAUAUGAAUUGUCAGAAUAAACAAUCAGUGGGCUUGAACACAGAUUGACAGACAUUAUACAAUUUAAAGAAUACAGGAAAAAGGAAGAAAGCAGUUUCAUAGAAAUGUGGGAUGCCAUUGUGCAUACCAACAUGUAUGUUAUGCCAGUGUUAGAAAUAGAGGGGGAAACAUGGAAAAUGACAUUUGUAGAAGUGAUACCUGAAAACUACAAUGUUUUAUGAAAAAUAUUAGCCUAAACAUCCAAAGGAAAUAAUAUUUUGAGACAAAUGAAAAAACAUGCCAAGGGAAAUGAUUAUAACGAUAAAUUCCUACAUUAAUACAAAGAUCUCAACUUAAUUCUAUACCUUAAGAAAUUAGACAAAGAACAAACUAAGACUGAGUUCAAAGAAGGAAGGACAUAAUAAAGAGCAGAUAUAAAUAGAGACUGCAAAGAUAAAUCAAUGAAACUAAGAGCUUUUUUUAAAAGAAAAAAUUGGCAAACUAGAUACUCUAACCAAGAAGAAAAGGAGAGGAGAGGACUCAAUAAAGAGACAUUACAACUGAUACCACAGAAGUACAAGGAUCAUAAGUGGCUACUAUGAACAAUUAUAUGCAAACAAAUUGUAUAACCUAGGAAAAAUGUAUAAAUUACUUCUGGCUUUGGUCUGAGGGCAUCACUAGUACAGAACUGUAAAUGAGCAUAGACAGAAAAUCUUAGAGAACCCUUAUCUUUCUGGCCAGCUGACUGGCUAUUGGGUACUUGUAAGCUGAAGUAUAUAGGAAAUAUUUUUAUUCAUAUUUAUUCUCCAUCCCCAUCUCUCUCCCUUCCUUCUGGCCUCCUUCCUCCUGGAUUUUCCCUAAAGACAGCUACAGUUCUGGAACUGCAUGAUGGUGAUGCCAGAGGCACUGAAGUCUGCAGGAGGAAAAGCCAUCUUUAUUAGAGCAAUGUGCAAAAGGGGACCCUUGUGAAUAGAAGAGUGCAUAGAAUUCUGUUAAGUCUCUAUUUUUUGCUUUUCCCAAGGGUGACUCCAUUUGUGCAGAUCUCCAUGGCAACAAAUGUGGCUUAAUAUCCAGAGAAGGCAUGCAUCUAGUCUACUUUGGAGUGAGAAAAAGAAACCUUUGGAGCUGGAGAAUAGGGUAAUUUUAGAGAUGAGAGAGCUGAAGAAGGGGAUCUCCUUAUUUCGUAUAUGAACUGAAGCAGUUUCUUGAGCUCAUCUUCAAUGUGAACAUGUAUGAGAUAGUCCAAAAUAAAACAUAGAAAUAGCUUUUGGAAUUUAUAAUAUGAAGCCCCACCCAUGUUACAGACUGAACUCAGAGAUCAUAUGUGAGGUAGACCCAAAUCAUCAUGGUAAAGACUGAAAAUUAGAUAUUGGAAGCACUUCUCAUAAAAGGGGAGAUCGAAGUUGUGGUCUGAACCUAACUGAAUUGAUUGCCUUUUUAAAAGGGCAUUCACACAUACAUUGUCCAGGAGAUUUUUAAAGAGAUCAGAUUCUUACAACAAUGUGCAAAAUGCCCAACAAUCCAAAAAUACAAAGAACCAGGGGAAAUAUGUGACAAUGAAUAGAUGCCAGACACAGGAUAUUAGAGAUUUUGGUAUUAUCAUAGUGAUUUUAUUUAUUUUUAUUUUUAAAGAUUUUAUUUAUUUGACAGAGACAGCGAGAGAGGGAACACAAGCAGGGGGAGAGGGAGAGGGAGAAGCAGGCCCCCAGCUGAGCAGGGAGCCCGACGCAGGGCUCGAUCCCAGUACUCUGGGAUCAUGACCUGAGCCGAAGGCAGACGCUUAACAAGUGAGCCACCCAGGCACCCCAUCAUAGAGAUUUUAAAGCAACCGUUAUUACUAUAUUCCAUGAUAGGUCAGUACUUUAAAGAUGAAUUAAAAAAUAGAAGUUCUCAGAAAAUAAAACUUCAAAGAACCAGGUGGAAUUUACUAAACUGAAAAACAAAAUGUCUAAAAUUUGUUGUAAAAAAUGAAUGAGUUCAAUAGCAGAUUUAAGGUGACAGAUGAUCAGUGAACCUGAAAAUUAGAAACUAUAAAAUUUGAAAAACAUUUUGAAAAAAAAAUAGGGCUUCAAGAAUCUAUGUGACAAUUUCAAAAGGUUCAAUAUUUGUGUGGUUGGAGUCCCAAAAAGAUAGAGAUUGGCAUAGAAAAAAAUAUUUGAGGAAAGAAUUUCUAAAAUUCAAUGGAAGACAAAUGUACAUGUUCAAGAAGAUUUGUGACCUUGAAGAGAAUACACCUAAAUGUAUACCAAUACACAAUGUAAUCAAACUGAUGAAAGUGAAUGAUGAAAAAAUCUUGAAAGUUCCUACCAAAACUCACUGUAUUACAUAUAGGAUAACUAAUUUUGAAUGAUUGUAUUUCUUGUCAGAUACUAUAUACAGUCCAGAAGACAGGACAUCUUUAAGGUGCUGAAGGUAAAGAAUAAAUCCAGAAUUCCAUAACAAGCAAAAAUAUCCUUUAAAAUGAAUUCAAGAUAAAGUUACCCUCAGAUGAAGGAAAAACUAGAAAUUUUUUCCAUCAUGGAAAUGCUCUAAAAGAAAUGAUAGGGGCGCCUGGGUGGCUCAGUCGGUUAAGCAUUGGCCUUGGCUCAGGUCAUGAUCUCAGGGUCCUGGGAUUGAGUCCCACAUCAGGCUCCCUGCUCAGUGGAGAGUCUGCUUCUCCCUCUGACCCUCCCUCCCCCACUUUGUGCUCGCUUGCUCUCUCACAAAAAAUAAAAUCUUAAAAAAAAUGAUAAAUAUUCUUCAGAUAAUGAUACCACAGAGAGGGGCGCCUGGGUGGCUCAGUCGUUAAGCGUCUGCCUUCGGCUCAGGUCAUGAUCCUGGGGUCCUGGGAUCGAGCCCCACAACGGGCUCCCUGCUCGGCGGGAAGCCUGCUUCUCCCUCUCCCACUCCCCCUGCUUGUGUUCCCUCUCUUGCGGUGUCUUUCUCUGUCCUAUAAAUAAAUAAAAUCUAAAAAAAAAAAAAAAAAAGAUACCACAGAGAAACUUGGUACUUCAGGGAUAAAGUUUGAGCAACAGUAGUAGUAAAUAUCUGGACAAAUAGGAUAACCUUUUCUACUAAUUCCUUUUAUGUGUGCAUGACUCUUGGAAACAAAAUUACAAUGUCUGAGGGGGGAUUUCAAUAUAUUUAUAUGUAAAAUAUGUGAAAAUUAUCACAUAGGUGUUUUGAGGUAACUUUAGCAGAGAGCAGGUUUUUUAGUUUAGUUUUGUUUUUUAAAGUUUCCAAAUAAUAAUGUUUCUUUCUGGGACAGAGGUUGGAAUGUCUAAGACCUCUUAAAACAUACAGAUUACCCAUUUUGGGAGAAGAGUCCAACAAGCCUUGUUUGUCAGAUGACAUUAGUGUUUUUAAGAAUGCAGAAAACCUGGCCCUAGGGUUAUCUCAUCUUAAAAAUGUUGCAGCUAUCCCUCUCUGGGAAACUUUAUUUCCUGCUCCCCCACCUGAAACAAAGCUUCAAGGAAAGCUGACCCAAUGGGGUGCUUAAGUCACUAAGAUUCCUUCAUCUAGUCCCUGUAAGGCAGUCAGGUCAGUUUCAACUCAUUGGCCAGAAUUGUUUUGGACUAUAGAACUGGCCUAGGGUCCCAACUUGCGGGCAAAGGCAGAAGCCUCUGCAAUCACUAAUACAUCCUGUGGUACCUGGAUUAAUCCUUUGGGCCUAUUGGAAAAGUCAGUAUAUGGAGAAGCCAAAAUAUUCAGGUUUCCUAAACUUGGGAUUCCUCACCUGAUGCAAAACUAUUACCUGUGCAUAAUCUACCUAGACCACUUCUCAUUGCCCUCUUGGAAUGUGUUGGGAGGCUUGAAGAACCAAUGUAGACUCCUCUUGAAAUCAAUGUGAAGAUGCUCAUACUUCUUACUGUGUCAUGAGUCAUAAAAUCUUUUGUCACUGAUGCACGAUUCUUAGCUCUUCUGCCAGAAUUCAUAAAACUGUGACAAGCUUACUUUUAGCUUGCAUGUAUGACAAAAUCACAAGUUAACAGCUUAUGACACAGUAAUGGGACAUAUGUGGUUCUAAGAUUUGUAGGUUUUAUUUUAAGUAGUAAUAUAUUAAUGUUUAGUACACAGAAUAUCAGGUAUGUGUAUUGUAAUCCUUAGAGAAACCUCUCAAAAAUAUGAAGACAUACUAAAAAAUUUACUAAAGUAGAAUACUACAAGAUAUUCAAAUAAUCCAAAGGAAUAGAAGAAAGAAUAAAAAUGGAGUUUUAGAAAGUGGAGAGAUAAAUAAUAAAAGAAUGGACAUAUAGCAACCAAAUCCAUUUAUUCUACAUGGUCUAGAACUUUUGGCUCGAGAUUAGUGGAAUAAAUGCAUUAUCAUAUUUGCCAAAAAAAAAAACACCCCUGGACAUUAUAUAUAAAAGACAUAUAGGAAGACUGAAAAAUAAAUGAAUGGAGGGGUGCCAGCCAGAUAGAGCCAGUAGAGCACGCAACUCAUAAUCUCAGGGUCAUGAGUUCAAGCCCCACAUUGGGUGUGGAGCCUACUUACAACAAAUAUAAAUAAAUAAAUAAAUAGGAAGAAGAAGAAAUGAGUGGACAUCAGCAAGAGACAAAUGGGACCCAAGGGAUAACUAGGUGUUGAGUUUCCAAAUUGUUUUUUUUUUUUUUUCUUUUUCCUAAUAUAUCUCAGGUUAAGUGCUGGAGAAUUUGGCAAAUAGGUCUCCAGGCAGAGACCAAAAAUCAAAACAGAACAAAGCCCUAGGGAAAGGGUUCUCUUUAGACAGUGACAACCCAUCAAAUAAGAACUUUUAGAUAAUAUUGCCCUACUCCAUUUAAACUUCAGGAUAAAAAUCACUCAAUCCACACCCCCAUCAGCAAAGGCUGAGUGGAGAUCAUAGACUUUAGCACUGCCAAGCUAUAAUGAGCCUCUCAUCGCCCCCUCAACCAGUGUCAGGAUGGUAUCAAAGAAAAUCCACUGCACAGCAAAGUCUACUUCACAGUGUUAACAUUAAUCCCAUCACAGCAUAAGUAGAGGCCUUGCGGACAUCUUGGAUUUAUAUUCACAUCCAGCAAAAUGAAGAGCCUUUCCCUCUCCCUUUUGGUUUUCAGAUGAAACCAUGUGGCAAGCUGGUACUUUGACCAUCCAGCUCUCAUUAAGAUCCAUCCAUCUUGGUACCUGGGGAGGACAUAUGGUGAGGAGCAUUAAUAAAAUAUGCUGUUCUCUCAUACCUACAUAUGACCAGCAGCAAUGAGCCUUUCCUCACUCUUAGAGUUUAAAGAAUGCCAAGGGGAGAACCUGUACUUUCACGCCUACCUGGUACUUAGAUGGCAGAAACUCCCUCCCUUACCAGAGUUGUCUCAAAGGAGGUCUGUAAAAAGAGAAGAUUCAAAUUAAUUGCAGAGUCUCACAUACCCAGAAUGUCUAGUAGAGGAUUAAAAAAUCACCCAUUAUUAUCACAAACCAGGAUGACACAGAUGUUGGAAUUACCUGAUGAGAAUUUUAAAGCAGUCCUUAUGGGAAUGAUUUAACAAGCAAUUACAAGCACUUGAAACAAAAUAACCAGAAAGUCUCAGGAAAGAGGAUAUGUAAAGUGUUUAAUUUCACAACUGAAAAAUAUAAUAGGUAACUAAAUGGAAUGGAGAUGGCAGAGAAGACUUAUUAGUGAACUUAAAGGAAUUGAAAUUAUUCAGACUGAGCAACAGAGAGCAAACAGACUAAAAAAAAAAAAAAUGGAGAAAGCCUCAAUGGUGUUAGAGACCAUAAAAAAAAGUCCACAUUGUUGUCAUUGGGGUUGUACAAGGGGGGAAGAAAGCGGUAAAUCCCGUUUGACAAAAUAAUGACCAAAGAUUCCUCCAAUGUUUGAAAAUACAUAAACCAAUGGAUUCACAAAGUUUACUGAACCCUAAACCUUAGAAUCCUAAAGAAAUCUGUCUGAGGCACAUUAAUAAUCAAAGCUUUGAAAACAAAAGAUAAUUGUGAAAGUGGCCAGAGGGGGUCAAAUGCAUUACUUGUAGGAAAAAAAUGCAAAUGACAGAUUUGUCAUCAGAAACUGUGGAGGCCAGAAAGAGGUUGCAUUACAAAACAACUAAGAAUAUAUAACAGUUUUUAAUUUUAUGCAUCAAACAACAGAGCUCCAGAAUAGAGAAAGCAAUAACAGAUACAGAAAUAAUAAAAUUAACAAAUAAAAUUGAUAAGUACAUUUCUCAACAAUAAUUAGAAAAUAGAGACCUGAUCAAAACUAUGAACUACCUUGAUUUAAUUGACGUGUGUAGAACAGUCCAUUCAGUAAUACCAAAGUACUUUCUUUUCAAAUGCACAUAGGCCAUGUAGAAAAUCAUAUUUUGGGUCGCAAAACCUCAACAUGUUGAAAAGAAUUUUAAUCAUAUAUAGUGUUUUUACCACAACACUAUCAAAGUAGAAAUACAUAACUGAAAGGUAACGGGAAAUUAUUUUUAAAAAGAUUUAUUUGAGAGAGGGAGUGCAUGCAUGCAAGAGUUGGGGGGAGGGGCAGAGGUAGAGGGAGAGAGAAUCCACAAGCAGACUCCCUGCUGAGCGCAGACUUUGACAUGGGGUUCUAUCCCAGGACCCUGAGAUCAUGACCUGAGCUGAAACCAAGAGUUGGCCACUUAACCGAAUGAGCCAUCCACAUGCCCAGAUAACAAGAAAAAUUUUAAACACCUGGAGACUAACCAACAUACUUUUAAACAAGCGAUUAGUCAAAGAUGAUGUCUUAACAGUAAUAAAAACAUGAAAAUUAAUUACAUUUAAAAUAUAAAGACACAGCCCAAUCAGUGCUGAAAUUUAUAUCAGUGAAUACUUAUAAAACACAAAAACUUCAAAUCAGUAAACAAAACACCUUAAGGAACUGGGAAAGAACUCGCAAAUUAAGUCCAAAGCAAGAAGAAUGAAGAAAAUGAAAAUAAGAUCAGAAAAUCAAUAAAAUUAAAUGAAUUAAAUGAAACAAUGGAAAAAAUUAAAGCUGUUUCAUUGAAAAGAUUGAAAUUCACAAACCUACUAAGAUUGGCAAAAAAGUGAAGCCACAAAUCCUUAAUAACACAAGUGAAAUGAGAUAGCAAUAAAUCAUAAAGACCUUAAAGGGAUAAUAAGGGGAAACUGCGUAAUUGUCAUCUUUGGAUUAGACAUGUUAAAUAAAAUGGACCUAUCCCUCAAAUGACCCAAACUAUCAUAACUUACAAAAGAAAAUGAAUACCCGAUACCAACUUAGUAAAUUACAUUUAAAUACUCCUGGGAAAAUAAUCUCUAGGCCCACUUUGUUUUACUGGAAAAUUGAACCAAAUAUUUAAAGAAUUAUCACCGGGUGCCUGGGUGGCACAGUUGGUUAAGCAACUGCCUUCGGCUCAGGUCAUGAUCCUGGAGUCCCUGGAUCGAGUCCCGCAUCGGGCUCCCUGCUCGGCAGGGAGUCUGCUUCUCCCUCUGACCCUCCCCCCUCUCAUGUGCUCUCUCUCAUUCUCUCUCUCUCAAAAAAAAAAAAAAAUUAUCACCAAUUUGUAUGUGAUGUCUUCCAGAAAACAGGAAAAACACUUCUUAACUCAUUUUGUAAGGCUAGUGUUAUUAUUAUACAAAAGGCAAAGGCAGUAAAAAUACAAUUAAACUACAGAUUAGUAUCACCUAAAUAUAGUUGUGAAAUUCCUUAAGAAAUAGGCGAUUUCAAAAAGCCUUUAUGUAUUAAAUUAAAUCAAUAAAUAACAUUCCCAAAAGAAAACCAGAAGGUCUAGAUGGAUUCACUGGGGAAUUCUAUCAGCCGUUUAAGGGAGAAGUUAUACCUCAACUUUACAAUCUCUUUCCGAAAAUAGAAACUGUAAAAAUACUUCCUAACUCAUACAAUGAAAUCAUCAUUACUAUAUAUUAAAACCAGACAAAGACACUAUAAGGAAACUACAAACCUAUAUCUCUCAUGAAUACAGAUGCAAAAAUUCCCAACAAUAUUAGCAUAUCAAAUUCAACAAUGUAUAAAAAUUUUAUGCCACAACCAUGAGAUUUAUCCUAUGUGUGUGACUUCAACAUUCAAAAAUCAGUUUUUGUAAUCCAUCACAAGCUAAAAAAAGAAAAAUAAUAUAUGAUCAUAUCAAUAAAUGUAGAAAAAUCAUUUCACAAAAUCUAAAACCCAUUCAUGAUAAAAAAUAAUCCCAGUAAAUUAAAAAUAGAGCAUAACAUCCUCAACUUGAUCAAGAACUUAUACAAAAAACCUACAGGCAAUAUUAUAUUUAAUGAUGGUAUAUGCCAAUUUUCUGCUAAGAGCAGAAACAAGGCAAGGAUAUUUCAUCUCAUCACUUUUUAAAAAUAUGCUGAGAGUCCAACAAUAGUACAAGAAAAGGAAAUAAUAGUUAUACAGUUUGAUUAGGAGGCAUUUAUCUUUGUCAGAGAUGACAUGAUUAUGUAGAAAUUCCAAAGUAUCAACAAAAAAUUUCUAGAACUAAUAAGUGAUUAUAGCAAGGUUGUAUGAUACAAAGUUAAUAUUUUUUUUAAAGAUUUUAUUUAUUUGAGAGAGAGAGAGGGAGAGUGAGAGGGAGAAGCAGGCUCCCCACUGAGCAGCGAGCCCGAUGUGGGACUUGAUCCCAGGACCCUGAGAUCAUGAGCUGAAGGCAGAUGCUUAACCAACUGAGCCACCCAGGUGCCCCCAAAGUUAAUAUUUAAAAGUUAAAUGCUUUCCUAUAUAUCAGCAAUCAGCAAGUGGAAUUUGAAGUUAAAAGCAAUACCAUUUAUAUUAGCGCGCGCGCGCACACACACACACACACUGAAAUGAAAUAAUUAGGUCUAUAAGAAAAUAUGUUACAAACCACUGAUGAAUGAAAUAAAAGAAUUAAAUAAGUAAAUAUUUGAUGUUCAUGGAUAGGAAGACUUAAUAUUGCCAAAUUGUCAGUUCUUCCCAACUUGGUCUAUGGAUUCAAUGCAAUCCAAGUAAAAAUCUCAGCAGUUAUUUUGUGGAUUUUGACAAACUAAUUCCAAAUUUAUAUGGAAAAGCAAAAGACAAAAUUACCAACACAAACACUGAAGGAAAAGAGCAAAGUCAGAACUGGAGAUACUCAUCUUCAACACCUACUACAAAGCUACAGCAAUUAAGACAGUGUGGUUUGGGCAAAAGAAUAGACAAAUCAGUGGAAUAGCAUAGAGAGUCCAGUGUAGUCAACUGAUCUUUGACAAAGGAGCAAAGGCAAUACAAUGGAGCAAAGAUAGUAUUUUCAACAAGUGUUGCUGGAACAGUUGGGACUUACACGUGAAAAAAAUGAAUCCAGACACAGACCUUACACCCUAUACAAAAACUAAAAAUUGAUCAUAGACCUAAAUGUAAAAUGCAAAAUUUUAAGACUCCUAGAAGGUAAAAUAGGAGAAAACCUAGAUGAUCUUGGAUAUGGCAAUGACUUUUUUUGGUAAAAUACCAAAGGCACAAUCGAUGAAAGAGAUCAUUGAAAAGCUAGAUUUCAUUAGCAUUAAAAACAUGUGUUCUGCAAAAGACAAUGCCAAGAGAGUAGGAAAACAAGCCAGAAACUGGUAGAAAAAAUAUUUGCAAGACACUGAUAAAAGACGAAAACAUUUGCAAGCACUGACAUCUGAGAAAAGACUAUUAGCCAAAAUAUACAAAGA